rnacentral:rRNA from 1 species
GUAGUAGUGGGUGUAGCGUACCUACUAGCCUACGACGGGUACGGGUUGUGAGAGCAAGAGCCCGGAGAUGGAUUCUGAGACACGAAUCCAGGCCCUACGGGGUGCAGCAGGCGCGAAAACUUUACAAUGCCGGCAACGGCGAUAAGGGGACCUCGAGUGCCAGGUUACAAAUCUGGCUGUCGUGAUGCCUAAAAAGCAUUGCAUAGCAAGGGCCGGGCAAGACCGGUGCCAGCCGCCGCGGUAACACCGGCGGCUCGAGUGGUAACCGUUAUUAUUGGGUCUAAAGGGUCUGUAGCCGGCCGGAUAAGUCUCUUGAGAAAUCUGGCAGCUUAACUGUCAGGCUUUCAGGAGAUACUGUCUGGCUCGAGGCCGGGAGAGGUGAGAGGUACUUCAGGGGUAGGGGUGAAAUCUUGUAAUCCUUGAAGGACCACCAGUGGCGAAGGCGUCUCACCAGAACGGACCUGACGGCAAGGGACGAAAGCUAGGGGCACGAACCGGAUUAGAUACCCGGGUAGUCCUAGCCGUAAACGAUACUCGCUAGGUGUCGGCCACGGUGCGACCGUUGUCGGUGCCGUAGGGAAGCCGUGAAGCGAGC